AAAUUACGAAGACAGGAAGUACAAUAUCCUAACAAGUAACCAUAACUUGAGAGACCAAUUUUGCGAACUUCUUUUCGUAAUUAAAACUUAUUUUUGUACCAAUACACACCUUUGCUCUGAUCACGAUCAUCUGCCUCCACAUAAAUACACUCCUUUGCUUCCCUCCACAUUGCCUCGUAGAAAGGAGUCCCAUCGAAUUGGUAGUAUUCUCCCAAAAUUGGUUUUAUGGCAUUUGUUGCCUCCAUCGCAUUGUAAUGAGGCAUUGUCGAGAACAGAUGGUGUGCAACAUGAGUGUCCGUUAUAUUAUGGAAG
rnacentral:lncRNA from 1 species